rnacentral:lncRNA from 1 species
CUUCCCUCAGCUCAGUGUACUGAGAUUAGCUUCUUGCAACUUGCAAAAGUUUCCAGAGCUAAGACACCAGUCCAAUAUGAUCGAUCUAGACCUUUCAAACAACCAAAUUGAUGGAGAAAUACCUAGAUGGAUAUGGGAAGUUGAUGACGGAAGUCUUCGACAUCUGAACCUUUCCUUCAAUCACCUAUCGGAUCUCCCCAUGAAUGCCACUAUGCCCAAUCUGUCUGUGCUUGACUUGCAUUCUAACCAACUUCAAGGUGAGUUUCCAAAACCACCGCCAACAGCUAUAUAUGUGGACUACUCAAGCAAUAAGUUCAGCAAUUCCAUCCCGCAAGAUAUUGGGAACUCUCUUAUUUUUGCUGUUUUCUUUUCUAUUUCAAAUAACAGCAUUUCCGGAGUUAUCCCUCAGUCCAUAUGCAAUGCAAGUUACCUCCAAGUUCUUGAUUUGUCUAACAAUGUUUUGAGAGGCAGCAUACCGGACUGUCUAUUCUACAAAAUGGAGAAUCUCGAGGUUCUGCAGCUAGGGAGAAACAAACUGGGUGGCAUCAUUCCAGAUAAAUUUCCAAUUAGUUGUGUUCUUAAAAGUUUAGACCUUAGUAAAAAUGCUUUAGAAGGACGGGUUCCAAGAUCCCUGGUCAAUUGUACGUCGUUGGAAGUCCUCAAUAUUGGCAGCAAUAGGGUUGAAGAUACUUUCUCCUGCAUGUUAAAGAACUUGACUAGUUUGCGGGUACUAGUUUUUCGAUCCAACAGGUUCUACGGAAACCUUGGUUGUUCACUGGCCGAUGGCAGCUGGCAAAACCUUCAAAUCAUUGACCUAGCUUUCAACAACUUCAGUGGUGCUCUGUGCCCAAAAUGCUUCUCUAAUUGGAAAGGAAUGAUUAGCCAUGGAGAAAAUGGGCAAUCAGCACAGGGCCGUCUGCAUUUUACCGUCUUGCAUCUUAGUAGCCUAUACUAUCAGGAUACUUUGACAGUAACGUUCAAAGGGAGCGAGCUGGAGUUUGUGCUUGUGAAAAUUCUGAAUGUCUUCGCAUCUAUUGAUCUUUCAGGCAAUAGUUUUGAAGGAUACAUCCCAGAGACAAUAGGAGAACUCAACGCACUUUAUCUUCUCAACUUAUCACAUAAUGCUUUCACUGGCACAAUCCCUGAAUCAAUUGGGAACUUGACACAGCUUGAAGCACUGGACCUCUCAAUGAACCGGCUAAGUGGAAUGAUACCACCAGAGCUUGCAAAUUUGGGAUUCCUCUCAGUCUUGAACCUAUCCUUUAAUCAACUCCUUGGAACUAUCCCCGGGGGCAACCAGCUUCAAACGUUUACAGAAUCUUCUUAUGAGGGAAACAAAGAUCUGUGCGGCCCCCCUUUGAACAUAAGCUGCAAGGGCAAUAACGACGCUCUGGUGCCUUCCUCUGUAGAUGCAAAUGCAGUCAUUGAUUGGCAGUUCGCAUUCGCCAGUCUUGGUUUUAGUUUAGGAGCAGGAGUUACUGUUGCGAUACUAAUUGUCAGCGAGAAAGGGAGGGACUGGUCUGAUAAGCAUUUAGAAAGAAUUUUCCUGCUGAUUUUUCCAAGAAACAGGUAUGAUGCAGGAAAGGUUAAUGCUGUACGUAAUGCCCAAAUCCCAAUUGCCCAAAAGUUUUCUAGCCAAUUGAGUAUUAUCUAUAAGUGAGGGGUUAUUUUAUAAGUAUGAUAUAUUUGAGGGCCAAAGUGUGAAUCCCCUUAAUGUAUAUCUUUUUUCACCGCCUGGCGCUCUUAUGUGCAUCGGUUUUGUUGUCUUGCUUUGUAGAAGAAACAGAAGGAAGAAGGGGCGGCUCCAGAGGAGGAGGAGGAACUAGGUAUAAAAACUCGCCAGAUUUCACUUGAUUUGAGGUAAUCAAUUAAUAGAUUUGAAUCUUACGAGUUUGAUAACUACUAAUUGAAAUAUUGAAGUUGGACAGCUAUAACCCAGUUUUAUUAGUAUGAUUUCUUGCAUAUGUUGCUAUUAAAUUGUAGUCAAGUCUAUGAUAUGGAUGUACAGACGAAAGUGAAAAGAUUUUAAAUGUUAAUAGCCAAAAAACCCAUGAGUUCUAACCAAUUUCGUGGCCAACAGUCACCUCUGCACAGCCUUAGAAAACUGAUAGUAACUUGACGUAGAAAAAUCAAAAUUGAGUGCUAUCAAUCACAUUUGAAACUCAACCAUCGUUUGCGUAGUUGACUACUACAUGUCUUUGUGGGGCGAGAGGUCAAGAGUUCAAAUCUUGUCUCUCAUUACGUUGCCACUAAUGUGAUUUUUCUUAGAUUCAUAUGGGUGCGGUGCGUAAUAUACUCGUAUGAUCCGAUGGUGGUUUAAUCUCUGCUAGUUCUUCUUGAGCUAGUUGGAUCACUCCCUUAGAAUAGGUUAUAGUAGGAGUAAAAGUAGAAGUAGAUGGUGACGACUGACAAAAAAAAUUGACUUUGAAACUAGAUUCCAAUAAUAUAUUAAAAAAAAAAAAUCUUUCCAAUGAUAUAAAAUUACAACUCUGUUUCGUUGUCUACCGACACCGGAAACAUAACAAAAUUAGCAGAAAAUCAGAAUCUGCACAACUGAAGGACUGAAAAUUUGCACCGACUUAGUGGUCCAACUUAAGGCCCUCUAUUGAUUGAUUCACUACAAGAUUCCAACAGGAGAUAUUUAAUACUUCAAUAGUAGUUUCUACUGCCAUCAAUUUUUGUAGUGAUUCGACAUAUAUAACCUAAGUUAUGUGUGUUUAACGGAGGACUGCGUUGCUGAUUCCUAAGGUGCACAACGUGAGAGUUGGAAAGUGUACUGACUUUUGAUUGAAUUUAGACUAGCAUAUCAUCCAAAUCUCUGAGAGGUGUCUCUUAAAGAUUAUUAUCACUUUGAGUCUAGUUUGUAGCGGCAUAAUUUUUACAAUUUUUUGACAUGUAUAGCUUUAGUUAUGUCCAUUCAAUUUAGUACUGCCGCUGCUGAAUUUCCCAAGCAAGCAGCCCUAAUUUUAGGCAUUUGGAGCAAAUAGUUAAUUCUCUAAGUUUUACUGUUUUAGGGGAAGAUUAAAGAAGGAUUUGGGUGACUUUAUAAUAGAAUUUCGGUUUAUUCUAACUAAUGGAUAAGUGGCUCUCUUAUAUCCUUAUAGAUUUUGAAAUGUUACUUAUAAAAGAUUUUAUUUGCUAAUUGUUAUGAAAAAUGUAUUUUAUUACAUUAAAUUGGAUUGAGCAUAUAUAAUUGUUUGAUAACUAUGUGUCUAUAAAUGAUUAUACUAUUUGCUUAAAGGUGAUCAUUAUGUGUUGUUUGGACACACUGGACUUGUCAAAAUAAGUAAAGGGUGGGAAAAAACUCUAGAUUUGCUACAUUUGAAAAUCGGUACAACGCUUUUACGGGAUAUAAUAGUGGAUAAAUGACCUUGUCAUGGAAAAAAAUAGUGAUAGUACUACUGAUGGGGGGAGCAUUGGGUUGGGUGGUACGGGGGGAGGGAGUGUAAGUGAGAGGUCUCGGGUUCGAAUCCUCCUGCUUACACUAAAAAAAGAAAAAGAAAAAAGGUGAUAGUACUACUGAUUUAGAGUUAGGUAUUUAACCAGUAUAUAGCCCUACCAUGGAAAAAAAUUGUGAAAUUUAAUGGUCCUAUCAUAGAAUAUAAUAGUGACCAUAGCAUAUUCUUUAACUGAAAACAAAGUGAAAAGUGAAAAGAUUCCACAAAUCAUAAUUAAAAAUACUAAAAUACGAAUCCAUGAAUAGUUAUGCGUAUAUAUAAUACGCAUGUAAUAUACUAAUUGUCGUUAAAUUUUGUGAAAUAAUUUUAUUAAAUGUUACGUGCAAUAUUAAUAUACUGAUCCAAUAGAGGUAUGGUAAGACUAUUUAUUGAGCAAGUUGAUGCUCACUCCACUUAAUUUCACUACCUGCAGGCGACAAUGCUCACCCCACUACCUGCAGGCGACAAUGCAGGUGAUGAUCAAGUCUAGGCAAACUUGAAGGAUGUUUUUGUGAUAGGUUGUGCUCUUAGAGUUAAAUUGCUAAAUUGUAACUUUUAUAGCUUUUGUAUUAUAGUAACAUAUAUAUAUAUAUAUAUGUUGUGAGUUUAGUAUAAUGUAUUGUACGAGUGAUUUUUUAGGUGUGAAAUUUUUGUAAGCAUAGACUAUGAUUUAUGCAAUCAUUUGGUUUGUAUUAAUAAGUUUAAUAGAGGACUUUAUAUUCUCUUAUAAAAAAUAUUGUUGGUGUCGCGCUCCAAAUUAUAAGUUAAAUAAUUUUAAAAUUUUGGAGUGUAACAAAAGCAGUGGAGAACUCGGAGGCUGAGUUCCCGGACAAUAUAGAAGGUUCUGACGGAGAUGAAUUCGAGGUAAGAGCUCGAGGCAUUUGGAGGUCAAUAUUGUGUAUUCUGCAGCAAACUUGGCGUUCACAGGAAGAAAGCCGUGCACAAUCUGCACCUCUCAUGCUUCACCGCCCAUAUAUUUUACUUCUCCAACAUCUUCUUCCUCUUUGUCGGUUCUGUAUCAUCAACAUUUUUACUCUUUUUUCAAUGCUAUUGUACAUAAAACACAAAGCACAUUUGAACCCUUGAACGGGGAUAAUGACUGGUAAGAAAAAUAAAAACUCUGAACAUUAAUUAAAUCCAGCAAAUUAUCAUGUUUGGUUUAUGUUCUCUCUCUCUCUCUCUCUCUCUCUCUCUCUCUCUCUCUCUCUCUUUUAUUUUUUGAGUAAUUUCGUCGAACAUUUUGGACUCGCGUACAUGUUUCAUCCCGCACGGUGGUAAAGGCAAAGGUUAAUGAGGAAUUAAUUUCUUUAAAGGUUGAAAAAUAUGAGAUAACAAAGGAAACAAGAACCGCUAAAAGUACUUUCUCUACUUAAUCGAGGUACCGAGAGAGAUUGAGACGGUACCGUUUGUGAAACGGAUUAAUCUUUCAGCAGUCGGGCAUAGAGAGAGUGCAUAGAUCAGCAAAUAAAUUUCUGUGCUUUCUUCUUCUGGUAUCGUCGUGCUUAGAAAAGUGGAAAGCGUCAAGUGGUAAUACUUCCGGUUCAACAUUUCUGAUUAGCCAAGGAAGACGUGGUUUAACAAUAGUUGAAGUCGUGGCUGGAGGAAUAUUAGAGAACUCUAAAAACUAAUACCCAUAAAUAAAUGAGUAAAUCUUAUAUACACUGACGAUGUAUAUACUAUCACGGUUAGAUAUAUGACGCAUAUGCAAAAUUUGAACUUCAAAUUUAAAUUCGGAUUAUGUGUCAUGUAUCUAAUGGUGAAAGUGCAUACAGUGUAUAGAAGAUUAAUUCUAAAUUAUAUAUAUAUAUAUAUAUAGUAAAUCUCAUAUACACUGAUAGUGUAUACACUAUCACCGUUUAAUUCAUAACAUGUGUGCAAAAAUUCAAUUUUAAAUUCAAAUUUUACAUAGUUGUCAUUCAUCCAACACUGACAUUGUAUAUACUAUCAGUAUAGGAAAGAUUAACUUAUAUAUAUAUAUAUAUAUGUGUGUGUGUGUGUGUGUGUGUGUGAUAUAGAGGAGGGGCAGGAACACCAUGCAACCGUUUCAGAAAGUUCAUGGCCAAGAUUUAGCCAAAAAAAUAUAAGGUUCAGAUUACAACUUGUACAUCGUUUUUCACAUCAUGUAUGGGGCAGCCUACAAAAUUUUAUUCUAUAAUUACACGUUGUUAAAAGUAAAUUACACCGUAUACAUACAAAAUUACAUUUUAUGCAUUUUACACAAAUUCGACCCGAACGAUUUUUCUAGCAGCCGUUCAGCCCCGUGUCCUACAUACAUACAUACUUUGGUAGCUUCUCGGAAUAAAAUCAUUUUUCCAAGUCAAUACUCAAUGCUACUAAUGCAGUCAUAAUUUAGACUUGAACCUAGUGCAAGUUGGGCUUUUCUUUCUAUUGGCAGAUAAACAAAGGUAAGCCUUGAGGAAUUUAGAGCCUGUCCUCUGGGCCAUGAUCCUUGGGCUAAAACUCGCUUCCAACACAUCUUCCUACUAAUUAGUUCCCAAGACGUUUGAGUAUUUUCCAAGACGUUGGCUUUGAAACUAGUAUUGGCAAAUUGCAACCUUUAAGUACUUCGAACUGUCCUAGUACUGCUGUCUAGGUAUUCGAUUUUCAAGGAAACUGAGAAGUGCUAUAAUUUUACAGUAUCAGAAUUGGAAGUACUUGAUGAUGGAAGCUUGAGAAAUGAAGUACUCGUUCUUUCCAACCACAAUAAAAAAAAAAGAAGAAGACAUUAGCUUCAUGAAGAAACUAAUUUUCUGUCUCUUUCUUUUCUUCACAAUCCCGAUGGAGAUAAUACAAUUAAGGAGACAAAAUAUUUCAUGAUCUAUAUUGACUAUUGAAUAUGCUGUUCUGUCUAUUCUGUGUCUGUACGAUACUUGUAGGAUAUGGGUUGAUCCUCCUACGUAUGUCUUCAACCAAAGAAAAAGGAUGAGCCAAAGAAAUGAUUUAACAAUUUUACCCAUUCCUGAUCACGAAAGAACUUCGGGACCAGAAGGAAUUUCUGGGAAACCAAUGAGUCCAGUUGAAGGACAGACUUUCGGCAAAGAGGACAUAUGGAACGAGUCCUGAGCCAUUUAUCCACGCAUUUGGAGUGAAAACCAUGGUGGCACCUAAGCAAAACUUUCACCUUGUCUUCGUCCUGAAAAAGACUCAGACAGAUAGAGCACUCGGAUUCUGGGCAAGUCUCAUUAUUCAACCUCGACCAUACGAAAAGCUUGGCAAGCCCCUGAUGGUAGCAGGGUCUAAGUUCUAACCCAGUGAGCUGGGGUGGUCCACCAUCCAGCUGGUUCUGGCUGGUGGAGGAGGAGCUAGCUCUGCGAUGGAUGCAUAGAGAAAAUAAAGAAACAAGAAACUGAACGAGAAGAGGAAGAACAGAAACAGGGCACUAAAAAGAGGACUCUUUUCUUCAAUUUUGUCCUUGAGAAGAUCAAUGAAAUGGAUCGGCUAAAUAUCUUGAGAGCCAUGCAAUAACUUUUGGGAAAAUGUUCAGUUGCAUCAUGUGCAUAUUGCGUUCGUCUAUAUUCUAGAGACAAUGCAUGGGAUAUCAGUUUUAGCAUUUCGGAUAACUACAUAAUACUGCUCCUACCAGUUAGGUUAUAAAGAGGUGGAGUCCGAGCACAUGAGGUUGAAAGUUGAGACAAAAAAUGUGUUGCUCUUUCUCGUAAUGCAAGUUGGUGGAUCCUUAUCAACUCCGAAAGAUAUAUCCUGAUCUACUCCGAAAGCUUAUAUAUAUCCCAGACUUCCUUACUGGCAUUUUCUCGGUUUGGCUCAGAAAAAGGAGCAUGAACCCUUUUUAUUUUUAAUAUUCGCUUGACAAUCUAGCUAGUGUAAUGUUGGAUAUGUACAAUCCUCUAGUUGAGAGUGUGUAUGUCCUAAGGUCAUUCAAUUUCUAAGGUCUAAUAUGCACUCAAACUAUUUAUGCUAUAAUAAAUGAUAUCUUUUUUUAAUGACAUCUUUAUCAUAUUAAUUACUUACAUAUUUAUAUUUAUAUGAUAAAACCUUUAGAGUAAACCUAGCCAAUGAAAUCAUAAAAGUUAUGAUGGUGAGAUUCAUUCGAUUAUAUAUAAAGAUUUAUUCUUAAAUAUAUAGUCAAAGUAUUACAAGAUAGGGCAUUGUAUUGUUAAUACGGUUAGACUGACAUAUACUUAUGUCGCUUCUAUAUAAGAAGUAGUAGGCAUUAUCUAUUAUGAUGUGUGAUAUCUAAACUAAUAUAUGGAUGCUUGAUAAGAUGAUCAAAUUCACUAGAGUGAUUCGCAUAAAGAUAUCCUUAAAAUGCCAAAGGAUUAGUCUUUAAAUUAUGUUUGUGUAAGUGAUCCUUAGAUUUAAAAUUAUCAUAAUAGAUUUAAAAUUAUCAUAAUAUCUUGAGUAUAAAUUAUUAUGGUUUGAUUCUAUUUGAUUGCUUCUCGUAACUAAGCAGCUCAAAUUGUUAGUGAUUGGAUAUAAUAUGAAUAAUUUAUAAGAAUUUACCACCUCUUAUGUUAAAGAAGUUAUCUCAUGAUUAGCUACUGAUAUAAUUCAAAAUUUUUAGCACUAAAUGGAAAGGUUUUAAAAAGUGUUUCUGAGUACUUUUUUAUUAGAGUCAUGUUUUGGUAUAAGAAAAUAAUGUUAGUGUAUAUAGAAUAGACAUAUACUCUCAGACUAAUAUACGAUAAGUAUGGUGAAAAGAUAUUAAUUACACAGUAAAUAUUCAUUGAGAGGUGAAGUUAUCUACUUGAUUUUUCUCAUUACUUUGAGUGGUCAUGAUACAUUGCUAGAUGUCAAACUUGAUUGAAUCAAUGAUAAAUUAAAAGUGUUUAAUUUAUCUAGUUCUUAUUUAGUAAGAAUUAUAACUUAUGCUUAUUGCCAACGUAUAUGAGAACCUAAUGGGCCACACACAUUAAGAUUUUCUUUAAUUAGAUUAAGAGAAUUUUAAAUAAGGACUUGAUAUAUAAGUUUUUAUAAUUUAUAGUUUUAUUUGUCUUACAAAUCAAACUUGAGGGAUUUAUGAUGCAAAUAAAGUUGUCUCCCAAUGUAAGAGUUAUAUUUAAAUAAGGAAACUAAGUCUUAUUGAAAACUAGUUUUAAGUUUUUUUUUAUAAGGAUUUGAACAAUCUCUAUGUCUAUAAAUACUCUCUAAAAUUUUGUUAACAAGACUAAUCAAUACACAUAUUGUCUUGUGUGAGAUUUUCAAUAAAAUCUUGAGAGAAAAAUACCUAAAAUUCAUCCAAAAGAAGAAGGGAUCUCUCUUGGAAGGGUUUUUCCUAGUGAAAAAACUAUAAAUUUUUCUCAACCAAAUUGUGUGACUAUUCUAAGAACACCAAAUUUAAGCUUUUACUAAAAGUGCUCUUAGCAUCAAAAGUUCUACUCCUAAUUUUAUAGAAUGAUGUUCACCAAAUACUUUAAAAGUACUUUUAGCACCUAAAAGUACUCUUUUACUAAAAACACCGCAACCCCAAACGGGCCUUUAGUAUUGGAAUCCUAUACUAAGGAGGCCUUACUCUAGUCAUUACUAACAUUGACGCAGUUAGGAAUUAGAGGUCCUGGAUUCUAGUCUUUCUUCUCUCUUCAUGUUUCUUUAGUCCCACCCAUAGGAUCUCAUAUUUGACUUGUAGGAUUUAAAAAAAAAAAAAAAGAUUGGGAUCCCAUAUUUGACUUGUAGGUAUGCAACAUUUAUGUGAAUAUAUUAUUUUUGCUAUAAAUUUCUAUUUCUUUAAGAAAAAUAAUGUAUGUACAUUUUUAUGAAUAUAUUAUGUUUGCUAAAAAUUUCUAUUUGCUUAAGAAAAAUAAUGUAAGACAUUGCAAUUAAGAUUGACGUCAUGAGACCUACCUAACUGAUUUGAGAUGCAAGAAGGUAUAACAUUAAGGACAUAUGUAGUAGCUUUUUUUUUAAUAAAUAUCUAAGUAGUAUACUAAACUCAAUGCUUUAUAAACUAGUCCACCUUUUUUUAUUUUACAUUUUUUUUCUUAGAGUAAAGAGUAGAGAACAUAAAAAAAAAAAAAAAAAAACUUUGUUGAGAAGGACGGUGGAGAAGAUCCAUGCAAUUUCAUCCGCAAAUAUGGAAGGGGAAGGGACACUCUUUUUUAAUGAUAGAAUUGAGAGAAAAAGGACUGAAAGAGAAAUUCUUAAGUCAUUUUUAUUCAAUGAUGUCUUUUCUCUUCUUGACAUAGUGCUUUGAGUGAAGGAAAAGGAACGAGUAGGUUAAUUAUCAAUGGCAACAACAUGAGAUGGACCUGAUGGUAGUCUUAGUUAUUUGUUCUUUAUGGAAAUAAAAGACAAAAUAAAAGACCUUUCAAUUUAUCUUUUAUGCAAAAAAUGGUUUCUUGAUUGGACUGAAAAAUUAUUAUUGGUUUCCCUUUAUAUCAAAAAAUGCGUGGCUAUAUCUAAAGUUGGUUGCCCUUUAUAUGUGCACAGAGUAGAAAAUUUUAAAAAAAAGAAAAGAAAAAUUGAAAGAAUUAAAAUUAAUGCAGAUUUGUCACCUUCGUUUCUUCAACUGACUCAUUUCCUAAAAGGAUGUUUGCAGACUUUGCUGCAAUAAGGACAAAAAGUCAAGGAAUAACAAUAGGGGAAAUGUACUUUUCAUUCACAUUGUUUGGAGUUUGGACCAAUUUUGGUCCCUAUUGUUUUAGCAAAAACACAUUUAGCCUCUUAAAUUUUAAUCUUUGACCAAUUAGAGACAAUUGACGUUUAAUCAUUCAAUUUAAGCUAAAGCUGAAGUUUAAUCACUCAAUUUGGACAGAAUGAAAUGUAUGAGGGGCAAGCAUAUAUCGUUAGGAAAAAGUCAUUAGUGCCUCAAAAUUCAUCACCUAAAAUUCAUCAAAUUUUGAAAAUAAUAUGGAUAAAUUUACUGAAUAGUGAGUGUAAAGAAUCAUAGGGAAGGCAAAGUGGGUCCAAUCUAAUGAAUUUUGCUUCCCCUUACGCAUUUUAAUUCCGUCCAACUUGAGUGAUUAAACAUUAAUUUCUGCCCAAAUUGAAUGAUUAUUAACUCAUACCUAAUUAGUCAAAAAUCAAAAGUUAUGGGAUGAAAAUUACAAGGGAACUUACAUCUAAGAAGGGAAAUUACAAGGUACACGUAAGUAGAAAAAUUAGGGAUUGUACCAAACUUGUCUAGCUAUUUAAGUGAGACGAUUAUUGCAUCAAAAUUAGUAAAACUUAAAAUUAGAUUGUCAUGCUUCAAUAAAUAAAAUUGAAUUUAAUUUGAUCAUUUUUUGGUGCAACAACAGCCAAAUUAGGUUUUUUUUUUUUUAGGUCUUCUUUCCCUCGGCGUUGCUCUGUUUUUUUCCCCUCCUGUUCAUGCGUAUUUGUGUGUUUUGUCAUAUGGUGCUUUUGGUCUGUGCGCUGUUGCGUUUUUUCCCCCUUCUGCUCCCCCACCCUUUGCUAUAUAGCUUGCACUCCGAAAAAAAAUAGAAAGGAACUGCCCCUUCCCCAAAAAAAUAAGCUCUUCUGUUCUUUGUUCUUGGUAUGUUGCCGUUGCCUAUCUCUAUAUGAUUUGGCUUUUUUUUCGUUCAGACAGAUUUUGCUUCUUUCGCUGUUGCUUGAUAAAGUUCCUGUCUUUUUGGGUUAUGGUUUACUUUAUGAAUUGGAAGGAAAUCUGUUUUCCUUUUGGAGGGAAGUCGGAGGGGGAGCAUUCUAAUUUCUAAGGGUUACUUCGGUGAGGAUUGAUUACCUUUACUUGUUUUUGGUUUAUGUAGUUCUUUUUUGCAGCUACAGUUUGUUGUUUUUAGUUUUAAUUUGGUCCUAUGGAAUGUACACUAAUAUUGUUUUUGGGGCUGACUUUGCUUUUUCAGCUACUUUUGACUUAUAAUUUCGAUUUCGUUCCUUAGUUGUUCUUGAGUUAGUAUAGUUCUAUUACUAAUACGUGACGUUAAUGAAACAGAAUAAACAAAGUUGAUCCAGAGUUUUCCUUUUUUGUUUUUUUUUUUUGGUAGAGCUAAUUCUUAACUCCAAAAAAAAAGGUGUUAAAAUGACUUCAGCUUUCUCAUGAAUUCUGUUUGAAACAAGAGUAGCUAUGGUUAGCAAUGUGAUUAAUUACAAGAGGUUAGGAGUUUAUUGCAUUUAAUUCCUUUUCCUAUCCCAGGAUGUCUUUUUGAAUAUUCCUUUUAUUCGUGAAUUGUAGGGAAAUCUGCUUCCCUUUUUGACCCUUUUGCUAUCAUGCUCUGUAAUAUUUUUUGGGACUUUUUUUGGCCUACCUAUUGAUACUCUGUUUCUUUUUCUGGUUGAAGAAAUUUUGCUGGUUUUGGUUGUUGCUUGAUGUUGCUGAAAUUUUCACGGUCUUCGACACUUUACUGGUUUUUUUUUCCCCUACCUCUGGAUCUUUUUUCCCCAUUCAAACAGUCUUUGUGUUUUUAGUUGCUGUUUGAUAAAGUUUCUUCCUUCUUUUGUAAUCUGGUUUAGUCCCUGAAUUGGAUGAAAGUCAUCUUUUCUUUUGCGCUUUAGCUAUCGUGUCUCUUAUACUUUAUUCGGCUUUUUUUUUUGGGGUUAAAAGCUCGUUUGUUGCGAUGUCGUCGACCAUUGGAUGAUUAGGAACUAUCUUUUUUGAGAUUGUUUGCUAAUGUGCCUAUAGCAUCACAAAUAUAUGAACUCUGCAUUGGUAAAACUUUGUGCAUUGUUUUUUUCAUUCCUCCUCUUUUGUUUAUUCCAGAGCAUUCCCCUUUUCUUUUGAUCAUGUUAUGCAUUCGGCCCCUGCUGCUCUUAAGCACGCUUGUACAAUUGACUUCUCCCACGGUCUGAACCUGUUUUCCUUUUUUUGUUUUGCUAGCUGACCAUGGAGCCUUUGCCUGUGUCUGAGAUCCAUAGUUCCCUUCCUCAGUGGACGUCUGUGAUCCAGGUCAUAGAGGCGUCUCAUACUAAAACUACCCAUGCAGCCCGUGCAUCGAGAGUUUAUCGCCGCUUUGUUUUUGCUGAUUCGCACGUGCGCAUUUUUCCUUCCUUCUCUUCUUUUAUUUGUUCCUUUCUUUUCCUCUGCUGUUUUUUUAUUUACCCCUCCCCCUCUACUGUUGAUAGGGUGUAAAGGUCUCCGCUGUUGCCUUUGAUGGUAAUGUUGCUCGUAUUGAAGGUUUACUUGUUCCUUUCAAGAAAUACUGCAUUGGUGGUGCUUCUGUUGAGGAAAUUCCCAAACCUACUCUUCCAGAUUUGUACCGCUUUUUUUGGAUUAUAAAUAAAGAUACUUUGAUCAGAGAGGUUUUUGAGCCUGAUAUGCCGAGCCUUCCGCCUUAUUUUCAUCUUACGCCUUUCACCUCUUUCCAACAUUUGGCUGACAGCCAAGCCUCUAUAAGUGAGCUUUCGUUUUGUUCUUUCUUUUGUGCUACCCUUCCCCCCUCCCCCCCCUUUAGUUCCUUUUGAUUGUGGAGUUCUACUCGUUACCUUUUGUUGCCUUGAUUUCCAGCAGACAUGAUGGGAGUUGUUUUAUAUGCUUUGCCAAAAAGGGAGUCCCAUUUAGAUGCUCCUUUAGUUGCUACCAGAGACUACGUUGUUGUUGAUCAGAGGUUGUUUUCGCUACUACUUUUCCUCGCUUUUUUUUUCCUUUUCUCCCUCUACUGAUUGUCUUUUUUUGUGUUUGUUUAACCUCCAGUAAUAUGCCUAUUCUUUUGACGCUAAACGGUGAUCUCGAGUCUGGAGCGGGAGAUGCUAUUUCAGAUUCAAUUGCCUCCAUUGAAUCGAAGCCAGUUAUUAUUGCUGUUAGAGUCAGGGUUAAGACCGACAAUUGUUCGUUCUGUAUCUUUUGCCUAGGCUCAUGUUCAAUUCUGUUUCCUUUUUUAAUUUACCUACUUCCUUCUACGUGUUCUGUUCCCUGUCGUUCAGAUUUGUCCCUUUGUACUAAGGCUACUUCAACCAUUUUGGUUUCUCCGAGAAUUCAGGAAGCCGCCCGUCUUGAACACUGGUUGUCUAUUCCUCCUUUCUACAGUUGUGCAGGGGAAUUAUUUCCCCUCUCUAUACCCAUGCCAAACUUGGGUUAUCGUUACUGUCUUACAAUUGUCUCCAUGCAGGUAUCGCAGCAAUCGUUCUGCACUAAUGUCUUCGGUUUUGGAAAAACAUUACUGCGACCCCCUUCUACUACUUCCUCCUGUUAGCGACGCCAUGCUGUCUUCUAUUUCCGACGUUGUCGCACCAACUCAAUUUGUUAGUCAUCUUCUUUGUUCUGCUCUUUUCCUUUUUGCAUUUUUUCCCCACCUUCAGUUUCUGUAUUACCCUCUUUGCCGUCCUUAUGGAAACGCUUCUUCUUUUCCUUACAGCCUAUGGGUGCUUCGUGGAUUAAGGGCCGAGUUUCUGUUGAUCGCUUGCAUCGGCUCUGGCAUUUGGCUUGCCCCUACUGCUUCACACCCAAUAACUUUAUUGAGACUCUGGGAAUUUCUUGUGUUGCCUUUCUUAAGGAUCUUUAUGUUUUUCCUAGGUACGGCCAUGUUACUCGUUGUCUACGUUUUGCUGCUGUUUUUUUUCUGCUGUUUGCUUUUACUUUCUGAGUGCAUUUUCGCCUGUUGUUCCUUUAAUACUAAUUGACUUAUAUUCUACUCUCAGAGCACGUGUUAAGUUAGUUGUUACUUAUGGUACUGCUUCCAUCAAUGUCAUUGCCUUGGGUUAUGAGGCUGAGAAGCUGAUAGGCUUCACUGCAUACCAGCUUAGUCAAGCUGAACAUGAGGUUUUCAUCAGUUUACUUCUCUGUGAAUGCUUGCUCCUUGCAUAUUCUGUGCGCUGCAUUUGUUUUGCUAAAAUAUGCUAUUUUAUGUAGGGUGUUACCCUAAACCUCCGGGUUGCCGAUGCGCUCGAUGGAAGGGUCUUGUGCUGCUAUGUUAGCCGUUCUCCUGAAUCCGUUCAAUUGGCCGGAGUCAGCUUUACUAUUGUUACAUCUUAUUGGGUUGGAGAUGCUAUACCUGUAAAUGAUUAGCGUGUACCUUAGCUCAUAACAGUUUUAUACUUUUAGUCUACUUUGUCCAAUUAUUAGUUGUUGCAGGCUUUUGUAAUGUGAUGGUUUCUACCUUUCGUAAGCACCAUUUUGUCCCGGCAUCUCCCCCCCUCCCUUUUUGAAACCCCAUCGGAAUGUUUUCGUCAGCAAAAUAUAAUUUCCCCUGGUUGCUAUAAUAAAACACGACUCUUUCAGAACAUUCACUCUUAGUAGGAAUUGCUAUGCUUCCUAUCAAACGCGCGGAAUGUAAUUUCCAGCUAAUCAAAUCCAUUCACCCAGUUGCGAACUUGUGCCGCAUAAGCUCGGGGUUUCUUCUUUUUUUAUUUCCUUCGUGCUGCGUGUACGUUUUUUAUUCGCCAAGAAAAUAAAUCCAUACUUCCCAGCACCUCCAGAUGCAUCAAACCGGGGGGUGGGGGGAACGUCUUCCCUCAGACAGGAACAAAUCCAGCUACCUAAUUGGGGGAGGGGCCUGUUGCCCUGUACCAAAGCCACGUGCCCGGAUUCAAUCUUUCCAUAGAGAGCGCUGACUUGUUUUUUUUUCAACUUCUUACAUGCGCCUCAGAUAUACUUUAGGGCUCCCUCAAAAAAAGAAAGAGCAGCUCAUACUUUCUUUUCCCGACUGCAAGUAAGCAGUUUCAGCUAUAUAGCCGUCUUACAAAGAACUGUCUUGUUAAGUGCAUUUCAAAAAAAUUGCUAUUUUUCCGUAUCUGCCCGGUUGCCAACUUGCUGCAACAAAAAAAGAACCUCUGCACUUUGGAACUCUGCUAUCGAUGGGUUCUAUAUUUGUGCUUGCCUGGAUUGUCUGCUUCGAGAUACGUAAGCCUGUCCGUUGCCCAAUACUGGUAAGCUUUAUUCAUAUCUUUUACAUUAGCUUCUUCCUUCUUCUUUAUCUCUUAUUAGUGCCGUCGGUCUCACUGUCUUUGUUCUAUGUGCUGCAUUUGUUCUGUCCACCGAGAAGCUCUUCCAUGAAUUCUUGAGCUGCGCCUUCCUGUGGUAACUACUCUCCUCCUCCUUUUUUUUUUUUACAUGGCUGCAUGCCAUCACUAUUUCUCUCUUUUUUCUUCUUUCCUUCUGUUUCUGGAUGUGUCUAACUUUCUAUUCCAUUUGUUUCUCCUCUUUUGUUCCUUCUCAGGUGUCCCUUUAGAACUCUCAGACUUGGUUCCUUCACGUUCUACUCAUUUUCGGACUCCUGUUUUAAGUUGAGGUACUUUCUUAUAAGUUCUUUCUCCCAUUUCGUACUUGCCAUGCAGAACCCCUUGUUUCGUUCCUUUUUUUUCAUUUACUUUUUUUAAGCUCCAAUGUUUCGUUUCUCUGCAUUCCCCCCCCCAAACACUAUAGAAUCUCGCUUAUGUUCCCAGCGGUCAUAGGAGCCUGCAGCUCUUUUACUGAUUUUAUUCUUUCUUUCUUUAUACCUUGUUUAAAAAAUCCAGUAUGUCACUUGCUUGCUUUUAGUAUGUCUCUUGCUUGCUUUCUACCUCAUAGUUAUUUGUUGACUCUAGCUUCUUUGCUUAUUCGUUUUCUCUUGUUUUUUCCCGCUGCCUUUAGUUUUUUCUUGUCGUUAGCAUUUUAAGUGCAUUGAGUUCAUAUUGCUUCUUGAUUAUUUACUUGUUAUUAGCGUUCUUUUCCUUUUCCUUUGGCUUGUUUGGGUGAUAGCUUGUUAGUUUUUUCCCUCCUUCUCAUUUAAUACUCCUGCUGCUUUUAUCCUCUUUGCUAUUAUUAUAUCAGACGUGCAACUGUUGUAUAGAACUUCUUGUGAACCUUUAUCUUUCUUCUAUACCUUUAGUUCAGUUAUUUUUUCAUGCUUCUUUUUUCCCCUCCUGCCGCUAGCCUUUUAAGGACCAAUCCGCCUGUUUCCGUUCCUCCUGCCCUUAUGGAUCGUAAUGCAGCUCGCCGUAAGCGCUAUGCAGAUAUGCCGCAACAUUUAAAAGAUGCAAUGUUGCAUAGAAGGAGAGAAAAAUAUGCUGCGCAUAAAACGCAACCCUCUUCUGUUCAUGCUACUCCCUCGAUUGUGUGUCCUCAUAGGCAGUCCGAACAAGCCAAUAAGAGGUCUCCUUCUAGGUCUAGACUGGAUUCUAGCUGUUCUGCCUUAUCAAGUUCGAGUGACCAGCCGCUCCAUCCUACAGAUAUUCAAACACCUAUUGCUAUACAUAUUUCGUCUCAGCAAUCACCUCCUCCUACUUCUUACCCUCACGACCCGUUACUACCUCAUGGAGGUAUAAUCUUCUCUCCAACAGCUAUUCACUUGUGCAGUCCAGCCACAUUGAAACUCUUCUUCCUCCUUUUUUUACUGUCUCAUUUAUUGAUCCUCCUGCUACUCAACCCUGUUUUACCACGCUUAACUUAAGUUUUUCCCCGCUUUUCCACUAUUUUAUCCUUUUCUUUCGUUCUUAUCAGCUCAUGAAACUAUCAACUCUGAAGAAGUGUCUCCCUUCCCAUCUCCUGCUCCCCCUAGCUCUUCGUUGGCCAGACCUGCUAAAUGUAGCUUGGUUAGUUCGCAACCAGCAGGUGCCGUUCAAUCUGACAAGCGGUUAAAGCCUAACACCACGCGACUGUCUCGUUUAGAAAAGAUUCCAUCUAAACCCCUGACCCUUCCUGAUGUCCCUUGUUGCCGUCAUUGUGGUGCAAAGAGGUUCUACCUUGAACCUCCAGGCUUUUGCUGUUCAAACGGGGCCGUUUCGAUUGUGCAGCAUGCAAUGCCGUAUGAUCUCAUUCGACUUUUCACUGGAACGGACGAAGAAAGUAUGGACUUUCGCAGGAAUAUUCGUACGAUUAACAACAAUCUUGCUUUCACUACCUUUGCUGCAAAAUAUGAUAGAAACCUCACAAAAAAUAGCCAUGGGGUUUACACUUUCCGUGUACAGGGUCAGGUCUAUCACUUCCUUAACAGCGUCGUGCCUUCGUCCCCCUCUCCUACGGGUAUUCAGUUGCUAUUCUAUGACUACGAUGAUGAAGUGACAAUGAGACUUCGAGACUCGCCCCGUUUGCGAGCCGACACUCUUAAAUUUUUAAUACAUACACUUCAGAGGAAUCCUUAUACCAAGUUCUUUAGGAGUCUUCGUGAAGUUCCUCACCUUGAAAGACAUCGGAUUAUACUGAAUUCUGAUCCAGGAUUGGAUCAGCGGGUAUACAAUCUUCCAGCUACUUCUCAAGUAGUUGGAAUUUGGACAGAAAGCGAUGACAAAACCCUCGAGAAAAAUGUUCACAUUCAGGUGUACAGCCAUUCGAGUUCCAGCCAUAGGAUACAGCAUUAUUUUGCUUGUUACGACCCCUUGCAGUAUCCGCUCUUGUUCCCUCGUGGGGAAUCUGGCUGGCAUCAUGGUAUUCCAAAAAAAAUUGUUUCCUGUCCUAAAAAGAGAAGCAUUGAUGAAGAUGAUAUGUUGAGCGAUGUUUCCCUGAUAGAAGGAGCUUUUGAAUUGAUUGAUCUCAAAAAAACAGGUAUUUUCCUGCUCAUAAAAACAAGUUUAAAACAGGCUUUCUCCUGCCUAACUAUUGAUCCUCUUAUUAAAAGAGAUUGCCGUACCUUUUAUGUUUUUUCCCAGCUGCCGAGAAAGGGAAAACAAAACGCGACACUGUGUCUGCCAGAGAGUAUUACUGUUAUAAAUUUCAGAUGCGAGAUAAUGGCAUGUCGAUGCUGUUGCACGCAAGACGUUUGUUACAGCAAUUCACGGUUGAUGUAUAUGUUAAGAUCGAGACGUCGAGGCUUAAUUUUCAUAGGAAAAAACAGAACGAAAUUAGAUCCGAGGUGCUUAAGGGAGUCAUUGAUAGCAUGUCUGUUGGUUGUACUACUGGGAACCAGGUUGGUCGUAGGAUAUAUCUACCAGCUUCUUUCAUUGGUGGUCCAAGGGAUAUGAGGCGUAGGUACCUAGAUGCUAUGUCUUUGGUGCAGAAAUUUGGUAAACCCGACCUGUUCUUGACUAUGACCUGUAACACAAUGUGGAAGGAGAUACGUGAUAACUUGAAAUAUGAUGAGGAAGCUCAGGAUAGGCCAGAUUUGGUUGCGAGGGUGUUUCGGGCAAAGUUUGAGGUGCUUAAAACUGAGAUAAUUAAAAAGAAACUAUUUGGUGAAGUGGCGGCUUUUGUUUAUGUAAUUGAAUACCAGAAAAGAGGCCUUCCUCAUGCCCACAUACUUGUGAUUUUAAAACCAGAAGCUAAACCAUUGAACCCAGAGACAUAUGAUAGAAUGGUUUCUGCUGAGCUGCCCGACCCAAAUGAACAGAGUUACUUGUACUCUCUUGUCAUAAAACACAUGAUGCACGGUCCUUGUGGAUCACUGAACAAAGAAAAUGUCUGUAUGCAGAAUGGAACGUGUAAAAAUCAUUAUCCGAAGGAGUAUAUUGAGCAUACUACGCAUUCUGAAGAUGGUUACCCGCAUUAUAGACUACGGAACAAUGGCAGAUCUAUUAGGGUCAGGAACCAUUCUUUGGACAAUAGAUGGGUUGUCCCCUACACUCCAUACCUUCUUGCUCUUAUAGAUUGUUACUUAAAUGUCGAAAUCUGUUCCACUGUUAAACUGGUCAAGUACUUGUAUAAAUAUGUCUACAAGGGACACGAUCGGGUGAGUUUUCAUAUACAUUUCGAGAAUGAUCCAGUAGACAUAGAUGAGAUCCAUGAAUUUCAGUCUGCUAGAUGGGUAUCAGCGGCUGAAGCAAUGUGGCGCAUUUAUAGGUUCCCGUUGAAUGAAAUGACGCCUUCCGUUUACACGCUUCAGCUGCAUCUUCCAGGAGAACAAGUUGUUUCUUUCCACAAGAAUACGAAUUUGUCAGAUCUGGUUGAUAGUUCGGAUUUUACUAAAACGAUGCUGACUGAAUUUUUUACCAUGAAUAGGCGCAAUAAACAGGCGCGCAAGCUUAAAUGCCUAUAUCGAGAGUUUCCAGAGCACUUUGUUUGGCAUCCUGAUAAGAAAAAUUGGACUCGCAGAAAGCGUAGAAAAGUAAUUGGCCGAGUGGUUACUGUCCGUCCGAAUGAGGGUGAGCGAUAUUUUCUAAGAUUGCUUUUAUCUCAUGUUCGGGUGCCAAAAUCAUUCAACCAUCUUCUCAAAGUCGAUGGACAGCUUGUAUCUUCAUAUCGAGAAGCUGCCUUUCGAAUGGGCCUACUCCAGUCUGAUACCUACAUAGAGGACACUCUUGAUGAAGCCGCUGCAUUCCACAUGCCUUGUUCACUUAGAGCCUUGUUUGCAAUGUUACUUAUUUUUUGCACUCCUUCCAAUCCCAUUAAUUUAUGGGAGAAGUACGAAGCUGACUUAUCCAGUGAUUUAGAAAGAACGGGCUCUAUCACCGGCUGUGAUUCUACUUAUAUUAAGAGGUGCGUGCUACACGACAUAAAUAGAUCAUUGGAGCAGAUGGGUAAGCACAUAAGUGAUUACCGUCUUGUCCCUGAUAAUCUUUUAUUUACUGAGCAUGAACGCAUAACCAAGGAAAUCGAAAGUGAGCAAACCGUGCACUGUUCAGAGAACGAUUUGCUGACUGUUUCUCAGCUGAACGCCGGUCAGCAAGCUGCAUAUAAUGCCAUUAUGGCUAAAAUCUUUUCACCUAAUGGCAAUAGUUUCUUUGUUGAUGGUCCCGGAGGAACCGGUAAAACCUUUCUAUAUCGUGCUUUGCUUGCUACUCUGCGGACGCAUGGUCAUAUAGCCUUAGCAGUUGCAUCAUCCGGUGUUGCAGCCUCUAUUCUUCUUGGGGGAAGAACUGCACAUUCGCGCUUCAAAAUCCCUCUUGAUGCAUCAGCUGCUAAGACUUGCCAAAUUAGUAAGCAAAGCUCAACUGCUAGACUGAUUGUUAUGGCUAAGUUAAUCCUAUGGGAUGAGGCAUCGAUGGCAAAGCGAGACACCAUUGAAGCGUUCGAUCUGCUCCUCAAAGAUAUCAUGGAUAGUGAUAAACCCUUUGGCGGUAAGGUCGUGGUUUUUGGCGGCGACUUUCGUCAGACUCUCCCGGUUAUUCAAAAAGCAACAAGAGAUAUUCAGGUUCAGGCCAGCUUUGUUAACUCUGCUUUGUGGAGCAGUUUACAGAAAGUCACUCUAACAAAAAACAUGCGAGCUCUUUUAAACAAGCCGUUUUCAGAUUUUCUCCUAAGAGUGGGAAAUGGAACUGAACCAGAGGAUUCCGAUGGAAAAAUAUCUCUGAACAAUGAUGUUUUGAUACCAUAUGAUAAAAAGGACACCUCUCUUGACAGGUUAUGUUCUGACCUGCGCCUUCUAUAUAUAUAUAUUAUAGUUUGGUGCUGCUUUAUAGUCAGUACAUGAGCGUUAAUACACCAUAUCAUGGGUUAUGGUGCAUAAAAUAAUAUGUUUUGUGCUUCGAACCUUGAUCGCACAGGUUAUUAGACUCAGUGUUUUCAGACUUGCGAAUCUAUUCCUACGACCCCUAUCUAAUGAUAAAUAGGUGCAUUCUCUCCGCGAUGAAUAGUGCGGUUGAUGAUGUAAAUCAGAUGAUAAUUGAUCGCUUCCCCAGUCAGCCUUAUACAUAUACAAGCACUGAUAGAACGCUUAACGAACGAGAUCAAGGAGAUUACGAAGAUUUUCUUAACUCUUUGAAUCCAAAGGGCCUCCCGCCUCAUAAAUUAAUCCUAAAGAAAAAUUGUCCUGUCAUUUUGAUGCGUAAUCUGAACCCAGCUGAAGGCCUCUGCAAUGGAACUCGCCUCAUCUGUAGAGAACUCAAGCAAAAUACAAUUUGUGCUGAAAUUGCUGUUGGACAGCACCGAGGAAAAACAAUGUUGCUGCCAAGGAUUCCGCUUCAGUCAGCUGAUAACGAAAAGAAUGGAAUCCCUUUUAAGAGGACUCAGUUUCCAAUUAAACUCUGUUUUGCAAUGACUAUUAACAAGUCACAGGGACAAACAUUGGAUUACGUGGGAAUUUAUUUACGUGAACCCGUGUUUUCGCAUGGACAGCUUUACGUUGCUCUUUCUCGUGCAAAAACUUCAUCAGCUGUCAAAGUUCUCAUUGUGCCAGCGACUUAUAGUGAUUCUGCUUCCUGUACCAAAACAAGAAACAUUGUUUAUCGUGAGGUCCUACAAUUAGCUAAACUGUGAAUUUUUCCCCUUGGUGAGCUGUUUUGACUUGUCUCUUUAGUGGUCUACCCGUUGUUUCUUUUAAUCUUCUGUUGUCUACGCACGCUAACACCUGCUUGUUAUGGAUUUGACACUUAUAAGUGAUUUAUUUGCUCAUUUCUAGGAUGUCUGAGUUCCUGAAAAUUGCUGAUGUCAAGCCAAAAAUGCAGAAUUGGUCUGCCAAGGUUUUUGUAAAAGAAAAAAUACAUCCUGGUUCUGGCAAGACCAGCCCAACCAGAUAUCAAAAAUUCGUGCUUUCUGAUUCAGAGGUCUGUUUAAUUCUUUUCUGUCUCGAUCCACCUACGCCAAAGGGGCCAAACUAACCUGAUCUACUGUACUGUAUUUUUGACAGGGUUCUAGAGUCCAAGGAAUCCUUUUUAACAAUGCUAUUGAGAAAAUGGGCCCAAAGUUACAGCUGUAUAAAAAAUAUCGCAUCUCCAAUGCUGAGGUAAGGAAGAUAGAGAAAAAAUAUUAGUUUGAUGGAAUAAGCAUCCAGUGGGUUAUAAGCACUCGUACUGUUGUUGAAGAGGACGAUGAUGAAGAUGGCUCCGUCUUGCCCUUUCAUUUUGAUUACAUCCCUUUCAGAGAUUUCCCGCUCUUUGUAGAUUCAAAGAGCGAAACUGUUGGUAAUCUUCUAACCUUAGAUUGCAUGACUGCUACAUUUGUUGAAAUCAUCAAAUGCUCCUUUUAAAUAGCUGACUCUUCUAAGUCCUCGAUAUUAGAUGUGGUCGGAGUGGUCAUUGAUGUACAGUCCACUGAACCAAUCAGAAUUCAAUCGCAGGAUUCAUGUGUUCAGCGGUUUGUAAUCGUUAACGAAGAGUGAGUUUCUAAAAAAAAGUGGUUUUCCUGCAGUUGAUACCUUCUCUUCUAAAUGUCUCUUAAGAAUACAGGCUGAUGUGUUGUGCUUUAUUACAAAGCUGACCACAUACUUUGAAAAACAGAAUGCGAGCUUGCUGUAAUUUAUUAUACAACUGAACAUAUGCUUUUAAAAACAGAAUGCAGCCAAUUGUUCUGUCUCUCUGGAACAAGUUUGUUGAGUCCGAAGGCAAAAUUCUUAUGCAACUGCUAAAAAGGAGGCCAGUUCUUAUUUGUCGCAGGCUCAAAGUUGUCUCUUAUAAUGGUAUCCUUACGUCAAUUGCUUGUCAAACUGUAUACAUGCUACCAUAUUUCUUUGUUUUUCCUUAUUUUUAAGUACCUUACGUUCUUCUUUCUGGCAGGAAUUGUGCUCUCCACUAGAAAUGAUUCGGUGCUUCUCAUUGAUCCGCCUAUUGGAGAUGCAAGCCAGUUGAAAAAUUGGUUCGUUCGGCGCGUAUUUUUCACCUUCAGUGAAUUUCAGACUUAUCAAUUCUAUAUUGUACCUGCUAUUUAUGUACUUGCUUUUAUCUUCUAUUGAAGGGCAAUGCGGAAUGAGAGCCAAUUUGCUACACUAGUUCAGGAAAAGACGUAUAACAUGCACAGCCCCAGUCUGUUUCAUUUGUCAAAAUCCAAGGUUUCUACUAUACAAGCUGUUCUCGCGGCUCAGAAGGUCAUUAUAUUAAAGUACCCGCACUUUUUUAAUCAACCAGGGAACAAAAAAAUAGAACAUUUCAUUUUUUAUUUCUGGAUGUUCGCAGCUCGCCUGGGUUAAAGCUCGUUUCUGUUUCCAAAACAUAUUCCAAAAAUAUUGGUAUAUGUCAUGUGUCAAGUGUCAUCGUCAGACAUCAGCCAAUUAUGGCCACACUUUUACCUGCAAUCACUGUAAUGAAAGGCAGCCCGCGACCCCAAGGUAAUUUCCAUAUUCCUGUUUACUCAGCAUUAAUCUGUACUUUUGAAACAUUGCCUAAAUAUUUUCAUGGUAUUUAUCCUUCGAACCAGGUGCCGCUUUGAUGUCGAUCUCACUGAUGAUACCGGCGUUAUGACGGCCUCUGUAUUUGGUGAACUAGCUGAGCAAUUGCUUGGAAUUUCUGCAGUUGCGGCAAUGAAUUUUUAUAAUAAGGUUUAUACUACACUUGCUGAACUACUGCUCCCUUUGUUGCUGCUUCUUACAUAGCAAUUUUGCUGAAUUGAUUGUCAGAAUAAAGAACUCCCACUCGAACUAAUUCAUGACACACUGAAGUCCAAGACAUUCAUUGCUCAAGUUAAGCCUGGAAACACCAAAGAUGAUGGGACUUACCAGCGAUAUACAAUUGUUUACUAGUUUGAGGACAACAAAGACCAUGACCUCAUUGUCGAACAACCCCAGAGUAGUUCUCAUGUGGCCAGUCAGCUUUCUGUAGCUGAUACUCCAGGUUAUUGCUAAAUGCUUAGCCAUAUACUUCUUAUGAUACUCAUUUACGAUUUUUUUAUGAUUUCUUUUUUAUUUUUCCUUGCACAGAAAAACCAUGUUCUUUUUCCAAGAGCCAACUCUGCUCAGAUGACAAACUAAAUGUUCCUCAACCAGCAAGUCAAUCUUCUGCUAUAGACAUAUCAGGUAUCUCCUAUCCCUUCCAUUAAUCCCUAUUUUCCAUCUUGGUUUGGGUUUUGUCUAAAAAUAAAUUUGCUUCAUGCACAAACAAGCCAUCUGGUUCCUCUAAAGCGCGCGUUUGCCUUUCAAAAAGAAUUGAACUCAGCGAGGAAGCCAAAGCUACUAUAUCAGAAUCUGGUGAUGUCGCGAGCAGCAAAAAACCAAAGAAUGCUUGAUUUGCUUGCCCUCAUCAAGAAGUCUUUUGUCAUUACUCUUACUGCUAUAUAGGCCUGUAUAGGCAUAUGCCCUUAUUAAAUACUAUAUCGGAAUCCUGUGCUUUCACAGGUUGCGGAAAAAACAAGUAAUGCUUAGUCUAUUUGUCCUUAUAAGGGGGUCUUUUGCAGUUUCACUUCCUGCUCUUGGCCAGUCAUCUUUUGUGAUUGUGUUGUCUGCUGUGUAAACUUGACUCACUUGACUAUGUAGUCGACCAUCCGUCGCUGGGAAUAUAUUUAAGACAUUUAAGCCACUUUAUGUAUGGUCUGUUUCCAGCCUAUCUAGCUGAUAUGUGUUAUUGUGUUUAUUUUCCUUAUCUGCUCCCUGAGCCAUCAAUUCCAUUGCAUUUAUGGCCUGCUUCCAGCAUGUCUAGCUGACGUGUGUUAUUAUGCUUAUUUUCUUGCUUUGCUCCCUGAGCUAUCGGUUGAUUUGAGAUUCUUAUCAAACGUUUUAUUACAACCUGUUGGCAAUGCAGCCAUGCUAGGCAACUAUAGACGACAGACACUUUGUUUAAGGCACAAUGCCACACUUGAACACCUGCUUUGGUGGUCAACAUUGCUCGCGGUUUUGCCAUUGCUACUAUUAUACGAAAUGCUGUGCCUAUCUUACACGAAAAUAGAAAGCAGUUCUGCAUAUGAAUUUUGUCAUAAUGCACCCUUUACUCAAUAUCCCCCCCAACAAAUCCCUUCCCUCGCUUUUGCUCGGUUGUCAAUUCCUGAACUAGACCCCCUAUUGAUUUUUAAAUUGCAUUAACCUCCCCUGGAUCAAGUUCGACCUAAUUUAUAAGGUAAAAGUGUGUGAAAGGUUUGAGUACUUUCAUCACAACCAACAUUUAAUUUGUUAAACAACCUAAACUAAUAAAGCUAUUUCUGCGUAAUUACAUUAAAUAACUAAUUAACUAAAUAACCAAUCAUAUAAUUAACUACGUAACUGAUUCCUAAACAUAUAAUUAACUAUCCAUGCAGAUAGUUAAUCAUGUCAAUAUCUAAUUAUCUACUUGACUAAUUGCUUAUUAACUAAUCAACCUAUUUGUUAACAGUUAAACUAAUAACUACUUAUCAAAUUAACUAAUAAUCUAAUUGUUAUUAGUUAUUAACUAAUCAAAGUUUUUUCUGCAUUGUUAAGCUACUUACCUAUUAAGUAACUAUCUAAUUAAACAUUACUUGCUUAGCUAAUUAAUUAUUGACUACUUAGCUAUUUUUAAUUUGCCUAAUCAAUUAAUUAUCUAAUUAGUCUGCAGGAAAAGUAGCUAUUUUUUCUUGGUCUUCACGCAUUUAAGGAAUGAUACGUUGGAAUGUUGGGUUUAUUGCAAAUUUAGUUCCUCAGGAAUAUCUUACGUAAUGAUAUGAAAAACUAACUAUUUUUUUUCAAAAAAAAACUGUCGAUUUUGCAGUUGCUCCCAACAAUAAAUCUUCUUUAUGGCAGUGUACACCUACCGUUUACUACCCAAUUGAAUUGCAUUUUUUCCACUAGCUUCAUUGAUUGUAAGCCUGCACCUUUUCCGCCCUGGUUAUCAUAAACGUCUAUAAAGUGCCCAAUCCAUCCUCUUGACCGCAUUUCGUGUAAUUUUUCAUACCAGCUUUCUCCUUGCUUUUGCCUCUUCUAUACAUAUUAUUCUUUCCAUUCCGCCUUGCUAAUGGCCAAACCCAAAAACCCUUUCAAAAUGUGGAAAAUAGUAUAUCUCAGAGACAAAAUUCGAUACUACCUUUGCACUUUUGAUGGCUCUCACGUUCACGCCGCAACUAUUAUCCAAUCAUGUCAAGGAAAGACAUUAUAUUCUCCCAAGAGAAGUUUCUUUAGAACCUACCAAAUGGUUUUAAAAUACAUGGGCGAUCCCUCGCUGUACUCUCCUGCCUCCGUUGAACAGUGGUUGCAAAAUGUCAUUGAUAUUAGUCCUGAGGCUUUUGCAACAAACGGUUCGCUCUUUGCUUUCUUAUGUCAUACCUGCACUUUAUUCCUUUUAACGCUGAAAUAUGGUUCUUCUGCUCUUUAUAUUUUUUUUAGAUGGGCUCGCGCCUUUGACGAAAGAAGUUCCAAAAGGAAAUCCAUGGUGUUACAUUAUGAUGUGUUCGAAUCUACAGAAACAGGUUUCGUCUAUUAUCUUGUCAAAAUGAACAAGCAAAAAAAAUCUCAAUCUUGUACACUUUCCAUAACGUCUAUAUUUUGGAGAACCUUGACCCUCUCCCCCCUCCCUCAGAAAAUUCCGAGUUCUAUCUUUAGAUCAGCUGGCUUCGGAAAUGGCCAAAUUAUGGAGUUAUACCAUGGAAUCACUGUUUGGCAUAUAACAAUCACUGAUGGAUGCUUCGAACAAGGCUGGGAAUCCUAUUGCGCAGACAACCUGAUUAGCGAAUAUGACUUGCUUUUCCUGCGGCAUAGAGGGAAUCUUACCUACGAUGGCCUUGCUUUUGGCACAACACAGGUCCUCACACUGAUGCCGUGGACACUACCUUUACCAAUGGUGCAAAAUUAUAAAAACGAUCAACCAGGAAAUUAUUCUCCUCCGCACUAUUUCUCCUUAUUUUGCUUUACAACAUUCAUGUUUGCUAAAAACAAUUGAUUUUCAUUCAGAUAUUGCGGCUGCCGAAAACUCGAACCAUAUUACAUCGUCCAUACAUCCAUUCUUCGGCCAUAAUCUCGCGGCAUCUACUACUUUCUACCAAUUUUAUACUAGGUGCCAUAGAUACACGUUGGUGAGCAUACGCCUUUCUGUUCUUUGUUCCCCUCCCGGCUUGUCAUAUCUCAUACUUGGUUAUUCACAGGCCCUUCCGCAAUAUAUAUCCCCGGGAUUACAUGAAGCCUGACAGGUGCCGAACCUGUGCAAUAAUAAGUACCUACUCGAGAAAAAUACAGAUUUUGUAUAUAGCGGUGAGUAGGGUCGAAUCCACAGGGAUUGGGGAUAAUUCGUUUCUUUUAGAGUCCAAGGUAUGGGGGGUUUUGGAUUAAAUGCUAACUAAAUAAAUUAACUGCAGAAAAUAAUUGAUUAAGAGAAAUAAUUAAGAGAAAACUCUAGCCAAGGGUACACUUCAGAAAUGGUUCAGGCACUGAUCAUUGAUUCACAGAUAAUUCCACAUUUAUUAAUAGAUUAUUAUAGUUGUCAUGCACGCGAUAAACAACCAACCUUUCCUUAAUUUCCCGAUAGUUAAGGUACGACCGUUAACUAUUUCUCUAACCCAAAAAUAACUCUAGGUACGACCGUAGGAUUUAAUUUCUAGAUUGCAUUAAUAAUUAGAAAGGCGCAAUCCUAACUAACAAACACGCUACGAGGGUUUGUUUAAAUUAGAUUGUAUGUUCCCCUGACAUAAACCCAAUUACGCCAGUUGCUACUGAGAUAGGGAUAACGAACAAUUACGGAUUCAAUUACCCCUAUUUAGCAAAAUAGCCUAUAUGAAUAAUUAAUUAUUGCGCACUAAUCAAUCAUCCACACGAGCUAUAACGGUUAAAAGCAGGAAACAUAUGAAUACCAAUAAAUGAAGGAAGCAAUUAAAAUAAAUUAGAUCUCACAGUAAUUGUUGAACCAAAUCUUCAGUUGUUCUCUUGACUAGAAUUGAGAAGCUAGUUCUCCAUUAAUGGAGAACCAGCUGUCCAAUAAUAAAAAUAAUAGCCGAGCUUUUCUAAUGUUUUUCUCCUCUUUAAAAAGUCGGCUCCGGAGGAAAAAUAAAGACCUAAGUGCCUGCGAAUUUGUUGCUGGCCAAACUCCUCAUCUGCCGCCCCUUCAAUUCGAAAGCUAAGGAAUUGUUUUUGAAAACUACUGCCAGUCAAAACAAAAACCAAGUCCCCUAAUAAUAGUCAACAAUAGUGGCUCUUAAGGGUCUCUCACAAAACAUACGAGAGAUUCCCUUUUUUUCUCCCUUCAAUUUCGGUCAAAGCAAGAUUGGAAGACAAUUGCAAUGGUCCCCACUUUCCAAGGUCAACAACCGUGGCUUUCUUGUCUCCUGAUUGCUUACAAAGCAUUCAAAGCCAGACAAAAUACAUGCCAAGCCAAGCAGACCUACUAGGACUCUAGGAGUAUAAUACUUCCCUCCUAAUCCUCCGUCAAUAAUCCACGUAGACUCCAUUUUGAAUUAGAAAACUCUUGAAAAAUCACAUCUUUUAUUCUCUUUUUGCUCCACCUUCCUACAAUUAGUACCAAAUACCAAAUAUAAGUAGAAUCAAUCAAUUAAAAUAAUAUUUGGUUAAAAUCAGGGGGAGAAUAAUUAUAAAUUUAACAACAAAUUAUGACCUAUCAAUUUUCCCCACACCUAAACCAUGCUUGUCCUCAAGCAUGAGAACAACAAAUCAAAUAAUCAAAUUCAAAUAAUGGUAUUAUUCAAAUCUUCUAUUGCCAAGAUACAAUUAAAACACAUGUUAAAUAUUAGUGGCAAUUUUCAAGAAAUAUCUCUCCUACUAGCUUUCAAGAUCAAGGAUUCUUUCAAUUUAUGACUAACUAAUCUAAGAAUAUAAAAUAUUCAACCAGCAUCCAUAAGCAAAUGGUUCAACUAUUAAGCAAAAUCUCAACAUUAAAAUUCAGGGAUCAGCGGGUUAACAAUUCAUUCAAACACUUCCAUAUUUUUCACUAUUAGCACAUAUUUUUUUUCUAGAAUAUCCCCACACAUGAAUGAUGAAAUUUUUUUUUUUUUUUUUUAGGGGGAAUGCUUAGUUUUUAGCCAUUCAAGCGUUUUGACGCGAACUCCGACAUUGGCCAUAUGAAGGAGCCCGGUUACUCAGCCAUCAUCGCUUAAAAACCACAUACUCAUAGCUAUCGUCGCUUUUUAACUCGAAAGUCGACAUUUGUGGUGAAAACUCCCGGUUACUAGGCAACGAUACUAGCGGAGUAUAGCCUAAUAUUAUUCAUAAAUAAGCACCAAAAAUAAAAUUAAAUACCACACAAACCAGCUUCAUUUCUUAAACAUGGAGAACUAAAAUUAAUAGUUGAACCAAUUUGCACAAAAAAAAUGCUAGACAAAUAUUUACAAUGCUUAGAAGAGUUAACCAAAAAGUGCAAAAGUCACACAAUCUCAAAUAUUCACCAAAGAGAUACCCUUAAACUCAACUAUGUCAUACUCAACACCUUAAAGUGUAAAAUCUUAGCAAUAGAAAAAUUUGAGACAUCUAACCAUCGUUUAUCAGGAAUAAUCACAAAUAAACACAAAGAUAGGCAAAAAUUGGUCAAAAUUCGACAAAGUCAAACAAAAAAUCCAACAAAAAUGCCUACACUUGCACUUUUCAAUAAAUGCCAAUAUACUACUCCCCCCACACCUAAAUCUUGCAUUGCCCUCAAUGUAAGCAAAGAAACAGCAAAACAGAGAUAUUGGGGCAACGACACUUGCCUUAAAACGGAGGAGGGCAGAACUGAACUACGGCUGUGGAGGGAAAGGCGGGCGGAACCCACGUGAUGGAGUUACUGUGCUAAAUUCUGGGCCAUCCCACCCAUUUAACGCUCCAUCCGAUCCAUUCGAGUGUCCAUUUGCUCUUGCCCUUAUUUUUUGGUUUAGUCAUUGGAAAUCAGAGGGCAAGGUAGAGGCAAGGAAAUGGAAUUCCAAAGAGGUCAACAAACAGCCAACAAAGCAAAUGACAACUAAAUACAGCUUCCAAUCACAGACAAGUGCAGAAACGGCCGAUGAACACACCCCCAAGAACUAAUUAAACCUGUCAGCAGCAAAAUUUUCCCCAAAUACCACAAAUUCAACCCAAAAAUCAAUUAAAUAGGUAAACACAUCAAUUUUUCUCAAAAAUUAAUUAAACAGGUAGUUAGAGUAAAAACUUUCCCCAAAUAUCACUGGUUUGGCACAACGUUAACCAAAUAAUCAACAAUCAAUCCACAGAUAUGCCACAGCACCCAACAAGCACAAAUUUUCUGUCCUCAGCUAGCAAAUCAAAAAUCUGGCCUCAGCUAAGAAAUUAAAAUCUGGCAUCAGCUAAUAAAAGCUAAUAAUCUGGCCUCAGCUACUUAGAGACAAAAAAAUAAAGAAAGAAUUCACCGGAGGUUUGAAUGGCUGUGGGUGAAAUGGAGGACAGGGGAGGACCCAGCACCGUGCGUGCGUCAAACGCGCGCUGGCAAGCACGCGGAGGUCGCGCGCUGUGGGCGCUGCUGCGGCUGAGUUGCUGCUCGAUCUGCCUGGAGGUGAACUGGAGCUGGAGAUUGAGCGAAAGGGGCAGGCUGCGCGAAAGGGGGCAACUACAGCUGAGUCGCGUAUAGGGAGGCGCGCGACUGGUGGUCCGCGCGCACGGCGGCGCGCAAAAGCUGCGCGCCUGGCUGCUGGUUCUGGAGCUCGCGCGAGCUACUAGCUUGCGCGCAAAUCUGGUGGGUGUUCGCGCCUAGAACUUGCGUGCAGGGGUUGCGUGAGAAGGAGCUGCUGGUGGCGAGACGCGGCUGGGCAGCGGGCGCGAUGGGCAGCUGUGUGGCGUGCGGCGAUCUGGCAGCGUGCAAAGUGGCAGCGGCGGACAAGGAGAAAAGAAGGAAGAAGAAGGAGAAAAAGAAAGAAAAGGAAGAAGAAAGAAAAGAAAGAAAAUGAAAAAGAGAGAAAGAGGGAAAGAGUAGGGCCGCGGGUCCUUUGAAAUAUUUUUUUUUUUUUUUUUACCAAAGAAUCUCUAGCUUAGGCGUGGGCAUGCCUAACCGCUCCCUAGUCUUUUGACCAUCCGGCGAAAAUUCUCGAUCCAUUAGCGUGACCACCUAGCGUGGGCACGUCUAACUGCUAUAGAGUCCGCAGAUCCUGAACGAAAAUUUCUUUCCCUUAGGCGUGACCACCUGGCGUGGGCACGUCUAACUGCCACUUUCCUGCCACCAAGCAACAAAUCACUAAAUGCAACUAACACUUAACAAAAACUCCAAAAACAUAAGAAAAUUAAAACAAAAGCCUUGGGUUGCCUCCCAAGCAGCGCCUUUCUUUAAUGUCUUUGGCUAGACAUUGUCCUGUUUAUUCAUGGAGGAUAAAAUCGCGUAGCUUGCUUCAGUGCUUCAUCUUCUAUGUAAUCCUGAUAGCCCUCGUAAAUAGAGUAAUUCUUGAGCACACGAGCUACGGGCUUCCAUGGACUAGUAAAUGGCACCAAACAACCAAGUAAUGACCUUAAAUCUUCAUUCACUCCUCCAUCACAAGCACUUACUGGUUUGAGAUAUUUUGCCAUCGUGACUCUUAACUUGUUCCUGUCAUGAAACUCAAAAUUUUCUGGUAUAAUUAAAUCAAUCUCACUAACAGGAAUUAAAGAAUAAGAGUCAGGAAAAUAUUGAUCAAGGAAUGGAGGAGAUGUCACCGCAUUUGGAGAUUGUUCACUGGAUUCAUUCACUUGAACCAUUUGAUGUUGCGGUCUCAAUUCUUGUGCUUCAACUUUCUUUUCAACUGCAUCUUUAGAUUCUUCUUCUUGAGACCCUUGCAAUACCAUGUCAUUUGUCAGGAUAAUUGCACUCUCAUCUCCCUCAUGGUCGAUAAUAGUUUGUGAGGGCAAUUCUUCAUUCAUUCGAGAAGCCAAUGGCGUUAUCCUAAAUGUCAAUUGAUCCAUUUGAUCUGCUAGGUUACGCCUGCUCACUUGUGUCUCUUGAUGAAAAUCUAUUAUCUCCUGUUGAAGUUGAUGUGUCUCCUGUUGAAUUUGAUAUGUGUUAGUAGCUAUUAAUUCAACUAUUUCUUCAAGAGACAUACCUGACAUAGAUGAUGAUUCUUGAGACUCAUACUGCUGAAAAUUCAUUGGCCCUGUUGUAUAAUUAUAACUGGAGUUAUCCCACCAUCCUUGAUCAUACCCGUUUGGAUUAGGGUUAUACCACGUUUGAGACCAUGGUGAAAAAUCUCCAUAAUUAUUGAGUGAAAAACUCAGAUUAUCUUGAUAUUCGGGGCACAUACCGGUCGAAUGAUCCCUGGCAUAACAAAUUUCACAGGUUGCAGCAGUCAUUCUUUCUCUAAUAGAGUUUAGUGCCUCUAAAUAUGCAAACUUAGAAAAAAAAUCAGUCUCAUUGCCUUUCUCGGAAACAAAAUCCAGUAAAUCACCAAAAUACGGAGUGUUAGAAGCCAUAAACUAUAUAAUAAAAAAAAUAAGAGAAAAAAAAUAAAUAAAAAUAAAAACAAGAUGAACUAAAAAAGAAACAAAUUAAUCUGGCACCAGUCCCCGGCAACGGCGCCAAAAAUUGACAGGUGCCGAACCUGUGCAAUAAUAAGUACCUACUCGAGAAAAAUACAGAUUUUGUAUAUAGCGGUGAGUAGGGUCGAAUCCACAGGGAUUGGGGAUAAUUCGUUUCUUCUAGAGUCCAAGGUAUGGGGGGUUUUGGAUUAAAUGCUAACUAAAUAAAUUAACUGCAGAAAAUAAUUGAUUAAGAUAAAUAAUUAAGAGAAAACUCUAGCCAAGGGUACACUUCAGAAAUGGUUCAGGCACUGAUCAUUGAUUCACAGAUAAUUCCACAUUUAUUAAUAGAUUAGUUAUAGUUGUCAUGCACGCGAUAAACAACCAACCUUUUCUUAAUUUCCCGAUAGUUAAGGUACGACCGUUAACUAUUUCUCUAACCCAAAAACAACUCUAGGUACGACCGUAGGAUUUAAUUUCUGGACUGCAUUAAUAAUUAGAAAGGCUCAAUCCUAACUAACAAACACGCUACGAGGGUUUGUUUAAGUUAGAUUGUAUGUUCCCCUGACAUAAACCCAAUUACGCCAGUUGCUACUGAGAUAGGGAUAACGAACAAUUACGGAUUCAAUUACCCCUAUUUAGCAAAAUAGCCUAUAUGAAUAAUUAAUUAUUGCGCACUAAUCAAUCAUCCACACGAGCUAUAACGGUUAAAAGCAGGAAACAUAUGAAUACCAAUAAAUGAAGGAAGCAAUUAAAAUAAAUUAGAUCUCACAGUAAUUGUUGAACCAAAUCUUCAGUUGUUCUCUUGACUAGAAUUGAGAAGCCAGUUCUCCAUUAAUGGAGAACCAGCUGUCCAAUAAUAAAAAUAAUAGCCGAGCUUUUCUAAUGUUUUUCUCCUCUUUAAAAAGUCGGCUCCGGAGGAAAAAUAAAGACCUAAGUGCCUGCGAAUUUGUUGCUGGCCAAACUCCUCAUCUGCCGCCCCUUCAAUUCGAAAGCUAAGGAAUUGUUUUUGAAAACUACUGCCAGUCAAAACAAAAACCAAGUUUCCUAAUAAUAGUCAACAAUAGUGGCUCUUAAGGGUCUCUCACAAAACAUACGAGAGAUUCCCUUUUUUUCUCCCUUCAAUUUCGGUCAAAGCAAGAUUGGAAGACAAUUGCAAUGGUCCCCACUUUCCAAGGUCAACAACCGUGGCUUUCUUGUCUACUGAUUGCUUACAAAGCAUUCAAAGCCAGACAAAAUACAUGCCAAGCCAAGCAGACCUACUAGGAGUAUAAUACUUCCCUCCUAAUCCUCCGUCAAUAAUCCACGUAGAUUCCAUUUUGAAUUGGAAAACUCUUGAAAAAUCACAUCUUUUAUUCUCUUUUUGCUCCACCUUCCUACAAUUAGUACCAAAUACCAAAUAUAAGUAGAAUCAAUCAAUUAAAAUAAUAUUUGGUUAAAAUCAGGGGGAGAAUAAUUAUAAAUUUAACAACAAAUUAUGACCUAUCAAAGCCAAAACUCCAACAAUCAAUCUCACUAGUGGCCACCGAACAUAUAGUCUUGGAAUGACCGCGACCAAAUUUGAUCAAAACUGGAGCACAUUCGUUACAGACCAUGAACUUCGAAAUGGCGAAGUUCUUCUCUUCAUGCCCCAAUCCAAAUGCUGUUUUUCCAUCAUCAUCUUCGACCGGAAAGGGAAUGAACGAAUGUAUCCAUGGCACUACAAUUUCAAUAUUUAACCCAUGUUCUUUCUGUUUCAAGUUCAUUUUGAUUAGUUCUCAGACGUUAAGGGACUAUGCUUUAAUCAACUUUGUACCGUUGGUUUGCACCUUUGCUGCUAACUCCGCUUUCCUUGGUUUUCUAUUUAUAUCGCCUUUCUUACGCUAUACGUUCACUAUCUUCAUGCAUCCUUCCGACUCGUCCUACUGAGCUGGGCAUUCACACUCUUAUUCCUACCGCGCAGCGCGCGGUUCUUGCCUCCUAGUAGUGUAAUAAUAUGUAUUGGAUUUUCCAUAUUACUAUAUACUACUAUUCUUUUUUUCCCCCUGAUAAAGGUACAACCUCGUCUAUACUUGUAAUUUAAAAAAAAAAAAAAGUAAAAUAGCUGAUACAACUUUGUCAUUAUAGUAAAAAUACCCCUUAACUAAAACUUAUUCAAAGUUCUAGUUGAACCGAACCAUUAACCCCUUGGGGUAGUAGAUAUCUGAACACUGAUUACUAGUUAACCAAAUCACUGAGAGGAGUUCAUUAGUGUACAUGAAUUAUGUGAAGAGUAGCAAGUCAUUGCGGGGUCGAAAGACUCGAAUCGCGUAGAACGACCUCAAUCUGUACAAAUCCAUAGACUCAGAAAAUGCACAAAACGCCCAUCGACCUCCCAGGUUUACUUUGAUCGCUUUCUCAUGGAAAAGAAAGCCCAACCAACCAAUCCUCUGCUUUCUUUCUUUUACCAAUUUCUGGUAACGAAACAGUACAAGGCUGAAAUGUCUAGUUGAUGGGGUUAUAAUCUCUUUACUUGUCCCAUUUUCGAGCUCCUGGGUUUCUCAAACAAUUGUAUCCAAUGAGGAUUCUUCUCUUUCCUUGGCUUUUCUUGAUACCCUUACUCCAAAUUUUAUCAGUCAGACACUUUCUCUUGGCCUCUGGCCAAUGUCUUGAAGAUCAGAGGUCCCUGUUGCUGGAAUUGAAGAACAGUCUCACGUUCAGCUCCACCAGUUCAACCAAACUGGCGCGUUGGAACAAUAGCAGCGACUGUUGCCUUUGGGAUGGGGUAGGAUGUGAUAGCACGGGUCAUGUGAUCAGGCUGGAGCUUGAGAACCAAACAAUUUCCGGUCAACUAGAGAAUUCGAGUAGUCUGUUCAAUCUUCAGUAUCUUGAGAGAUUGAAUUUGGCUUUCAACAGCUUCAGCCCUACUAUUCCCACUGGAUUAUCUAAACUUGCAAAUCUGACGUACCUGAACUUGUCUGAUGCUGGUUUCGUCGGGCAAAUUCCGAGGGAUUUCGCUCGUAUGAGCAGGUUGGUUACUCUUGAUCUCUCAACCCAUUUUCGUGGAUUUCAGCAACUGGAAAUGGAGAAUCCAAAUCUACAAACACUAAUUCAGAACCUCAUGGAGCUCCAAGAACUUUACCUUGAUGGUGUCAAUAUUUCAGCUCAGGGGGGUGAGUGGUGCAACGCUUUAUCAUCUUUACCCAAUUUAAGAGAAGUUAGCUUGUCCAGCUGCUAUCUGUCAGGUCCUAUCAGCUCAUCCCUUUCAGAGCUCCAUUCACUCUCGGUCAUCAAUCUUAACAACAACAACCUCUCAACUACAGUUCCAGACUUCUUUUCAAAUUUCUCAAAUUUGACAUCAUUGAGUCUCAGCAGUUGUAAUCUGCUGGGAGAAUUUCCAGAGAAGAUACUCCAGUUGCCAAUGUUGCAGAAUAUAGAUUUGUCAAACAAUAACUUCGUUACAGGCACUUUGCCGCAGUUUCCAGAGAAUGGAUCUUUCAAGACAAUAGUGAUUAGUUCUACCAAUUUUACGGGUUCAUUACCAGAUUCCAUUGGUUUCCUUGGAGGUUUGUCGUGGAUAGAUCUGUCAAAUUGCAAUUUUACGGGGCCGAUUCCAUCAACAAUGGCAAAUCUCACGGAACUGGUUUAUGUGGAUGUCUCAAAUAACAUGUUCAAUGGUUCGAUCCCGUCAUUUGGGAUGUCCAAGAACCUCUAUCACUUGGACCUCUCUUUGAAUGAUCUAACAGGCAACAUUCCUUCCACUCACUUUGAAGGCUUUGUAUAUCUUUCCUUUAUUAACUUGGGAUACAAUUCCUUCACUGGAAAAAUUCCACCAUCUCUGUUUGCUCUUCCAUCCUUGUGGAAACUCCAACUUGCCAACAAUAAUUUCAUAGGCCAAGUCGAAUUCCCCAGUGCAUCCUCCCCUUUCUUAGAUACACUUGAUUUGAGUGGCAACCAACUUAAUGGUUCAAUUCCAAUGUCCAUUUUUUAACUGCAAAGGCUCAAUGUACUCUCACUUUCUUCCAACAGAUUUAAUGGCAGUUUGCCACUUCAAAUCAUAAACGGGCUCCGAAACCUUACAACACUUGAUCUUUCUUACAACAACUUAUCAAUUGAUGCAAGCAGCGGUAAUUCAACCGUGUCCACCCUCCCUCAGCUCAGUGUACUGAGAUUAGCUUCUUGCAACUUGCAAAAGUUUCCAGAGCUAAGAAACCAGUCCCAGAUGAUCUAUCUAGACCUUUCAAACAACCAAAUUGCUGGAGAAAUACCUAGAUGGAUAUGGGAAGUUGGUGACGGAAGUCUUCAAUAUCUGAACCUUUCCUGCAAUCACCUAGUGGAUCUCCCCAUG